GACGAACGCUGGCGGCGUGCUUAACACAUGCAAGUCGAACGGAAAGGCCCUGCUUGCCGGGUACUCGAGUGGCGAACGGGUGAGUAACACGUGGGUGAUCUGCCCUGCACUUCGGGAUAAGCCUGGGAAACUGGGUCUAAUACCGGAUAGGAGCCAUUUUUAGUGUGAUGGUUGGAAAGUUUUUUCGGUGUAGGAUGAGCUCGCGGCCUAUCAGCUUGUUGGUGGGGUAAUGGCCUACCAAGGCGGCGACGGGUAGCCGGCCUGAGAGGGUGGACGGCCACAUUGGGACUGGGAUACGGCCCAGACGCCUACGGGAGGCAGCAGUGGGGAAUAUUGCACAAUGGGCGCAAGCCUGAUGCAGCGACGCCGCGUGGGGGAUGACGGCCUUCGGGUUGUAAACUCCUUUCGCUAGGGACGAAGCUUUUUGUGACGGUACCUAGAUAAGAAGCACCGGCUAACUACGUG
rnacentral:rRNA from 1 species